rnacentral:rRNA from 1 species
GACGAACGCUGGCGGCGUGCUUAACACAUGCAAGUCGAACGGAAAGGCCCUGCUUUUGUGGGGUGCUCGAGUGGCGAACGGGUGAGUAACACGUGAGUAACCUGCCCUUGACUUUGGGAUAACUUCAGGAAACUGGGGCUAAUACCGGAUAGGAGCUCCUGCUGCAUGGUGGGGGUUGGAAAGUUUCGGCGGUUGGGGAUGGACUCGCGGCUUAUCAGCUUGUUGGUGGGGUAGUGGCUUACCAAGGCUUUGACGGGUAGCCGGCCUGAGAGGGUGACCGGCCAAUUGGGGACGGAGUGCCGCCCCAGCCCCCUACGGGGGGCAGAAGGGGGAAAUUUGGCAGAGGGGCCGGAGGCCGGAUGCAGCAACGCCGGGGGGGGGAGGCCGGCCUUGGGUUUGAAACCCGUUUUCUCCGGGAACGAAGCGUGAGUGAGGGAAAGGGAUAAAAAGCCACCGCCAAACUACGGG